AAGAAAAAUGUGGGUUUAAAGGGUUUUCCAAAAUUCGAUUUAUUCCCAUGCGGGUUGUUCUAUUAAACCAAUUUGAAGAAGAAUAAUUAUGUAAUUUCCACACAGCUACUCAGAAAGCGUGGGGUGUCAAAUAAGAAGAGACAAAUAGGUAUUAUUGGGCUUCCGUUACGGCAGACGCAGGCAUCUCGUUAAAAAAAAGAAGGAUGCCAGUUCAAUGAUGAAGCUGCGAACCUGCGACGAAGGCCGAGGUUUCGAAACAGCUUGCAUGUGAGGGACACAUGAGGGCAGCAUUCAACAACAUAAACACGCGACUCUUGACACGUGCUUGAAAAUCUGGCGCUACCCGUAUUCUUCCGAGUGGCUGAAAACUUUCUUAUUAAGUCAGUAUCAGUACUACAAGUUUGUUUUAAUUAAAGUGUGUUUUUGGUCCAACGUAAUAACACCAAAAUGGAUGAGAAGCAGGGACCAACUUCUGAUGAUGUCCCAACUGGGGAGGUAACGUCAACCACAGUUACAGAGGGUGAUGUUGUCAAGAUGCCAACAGAUGUGGCCAUCACUAUGGAUGCUAUUCCCAAUGAAGAUGAGGAGGACAAAUCCAAAGGUCUUGACCCACAAGAUAACCAUUCCACCAGCACCUCUGACGUACAAUGUACGGUGGCUGGUGCUGCCAGUCAUAACGGAUAAUUAUCACUGUCGGACACAACAGCACUUCACCUCAGAGAUCUUCAACAUUUUGGAUUUGCGGUUAAACAACAUGGUGACUCCACUGUGGAACCAGCUGUAUGAGGACCAGCUAUCCACCAAAUAGACCAACACCAGGGAGUUUCUGAGGAAUUUAUCCAAGAUGCUGCAACGGAACAUUGGGGAGAUGUCUCCGUGGCUGAAGCAACAAAGGAAGAACCACAGUAGGAUGGCAUGUGAGUUGGAGCCAAUUAAGCCAUCGCCAGUAUGAGAGAGUUAUCGCAACAAGUGUAAGUUUACCAUCGGCAAGAGUGUAGAUGGCAUCGAUAACACUGUUGGUUUCUGGCUUGGCGCUUACCAAGGUCUUGACCCACAAGAUAACCAUUCCACCAGCACCUCUGA